CAUGAAGUCGGAAUCGCUAGUAAUCGUAGAUCAGAAUGCUACGGUGAAUACGUUCCCGGGCCUUGUACACACCGCCCGUCACACCAUGGGAGUGGGCUGCAAAAGAAGUGGGUAGUUUAACCUUUCGGGGAGGACGCUCACCACUUUGUGGUUCAUGACUGGGGUGAAGUCGUAACAAGGUAGCGCUAGGGGAACCUGGCGCUGGAUCACCUCCUUAUACGAUGAU
rnacentral:rRNA from 1 species